AUGAAUAGCAAUCGAGCUCCUGGCCCGGAUAACAUACCAGUGGAGUUUUAUAAACACUGCUGGGACUUUGUUAAAAACGAUAUUAUGCGCUUGUUUGAUCCUUUUCACGACAACACUUUAGAUGUUGCUCGCCUGAAUUAUGGGGUGAUCACCCUUAUCCCCAAAAUGAAUGGAGCUAAGAAAAUCCAGCAAUAUAGACCGAUUUGCCUUCUCCGUUGCCCAUACAAACUUAUCACUAAAGUUUUGGAUAACAGAGUGGCUAUUUUCGAUGAUAUGCUCAUCAGCAAACAUCAAAAUGCCUUCAUAAAGCAUAGAAACAUUAUGGAUGGCAUUUUGACCCUGCAUGAAAUUCUUCACCACACGCAGUGA
rnacentral:rRNA from 1 species